GGUUUGUGUCUCAGCGGUAGAGUGUUCGCCUAGCAUGUGUGAGGCCCUGGGUUCGAUCCUCAGCACCA
rnacentral:tRNA from 1 species